GCCUGGAAUCGUGACAUGGGUUUUCAGGAAGUCCUGAUGAAUGAUGGUUUGAAGUUCCUGGAGGAUGCUGGAGCUGAACCUGCCGGUGAAGGUCCCACAUCCAGGACUGAGGCUCUGGGAGAUGCUGAGGGUGUGUCUGUGGGGAGGACUUCACCAACUCCAGGGCUGGAUGCUUGGCCCCAACCCAGCUCCCAUCACAGGGGUCCUCCGACAGGAGAAACCAAAGACAUGGCAGGCAAGAAAUUCCAGGACCCAUUAGUAAUCAUGUGGCAAAUGCUGAAGGAACGUCUGCAGAGAAGACAAGAAAUCAAAGGAGAGCCUGUGCAGAAGGAAGCAUUUCCCGCAGGAAGCAGUGGUUCCGUGCCAGCCUCUGCUGCAGGAAGGGAGGCCAUGCCAGGCACAGACACAGGA